rnacentral:rRNA from 1 species
UACGUAGGGGGCAAGCGUUGUCCGGAAUCAUUGGGCGUAAAGAGCGUGUAGGCGGUCCGGUAAGUCGGCUGUGAAAGUCCAAGGCUCAACCUUGGGAUGCCGGUCGAUACUGCCGGACUAGAGUUCGGAAGAGGCGAGUGGAAUUCCCGGUGUAGCGGUGAAAUGCGCAGAUAUCGGGAGGAACACCUAUGGCGAAGGCAGCUCGCUGGGACGUUACUGACGCUGAGACGACGAAGCGUGGGGAGCAAACAGG